rnacentral:misc_RNA from 1 species
CAAUUUUUAGCCGAUAGCCUAAAAGGCUGAAACUGAAAAGCCAAGUAUAAAGUCGGAUUCAUCAUUUGGCCACUUGUACAACAAAAAUUCCAAGAAAACAAGGAGAUUUUAACAUGUAUAACAAAAAUUCUGAACAAAAGUUGAAUUAAGGAUGAGGUUUCCACCUAGUGUGAGUUGAUAUAAUAAGACAACAAAAAGAAAAAGGAAAAGAGAACAGAAAGGAUUGCAAAGAGAAUUGAGAAGUUCCUCUUCCUACCCUUUGUCCCCCUUCCUAGUAUCAAGUGUCCAAGUCUCCAAUGUUGCCGCUCUUUACAUUUGCUUCAAACUCAUUGCAAUUGCAGCCUAUCCUUUUCGACAAAAUACUCUCUCUCUCUCUCUCU